rnacentral:tRNA from 1 species
GUGGGGUUGUGGCUCAGUGGUAGAGUGUUUGCCUCGCAUGUGUGAGGCCCUGGGUUCGAUCCUCAGCACCACA